rnacentral:rRNA from 1 species
AGUGAACGCUGGCGGUAGGCCUAACACAUGCAAGUCGAACGGCAGCACAGUAAGAGCUUGCUCUUACGGGUGGCGAGUGGCGGACGGGUGAGGAAUACAUCGGAAUCUACUUUUUCGUGGGGGAUAACGUAGGGAAACUUACGCUAAUACCGCAUACGACCUACGGGUGAAAGCAGGGGAUCUUCGGACUUUGCGCGAUUGAAUGAGCCGAUGUCGGAUUAGCUAGUUGGCGGGGUAAAGGCCCACCAAGGCGACGAUCCGUAGCUGGUCUGAGAGGAUGAUCAGCCACACUGGAACUGAGACACGGUCCAGACUCCUACGGGAGGCAGCAGUGGGGAAUGUUGGACAAUGGGCGCAAGCCUGGUCCAGCCAUGCCGCGUGGGUUAAGAAGGCCUUCGCGUUGUAAAGCCCUUUUGUUGGGAAAGAAAAGCAGCAGGUUAAUACCCCGCUGUUCUGACGGUACCCAAAGAAUAAGCACCGGCUAACUUCGUG